rnacentral:miRNA from 1 species
AUCACAACCUACUUGAUUGAGGGG